CUGGAAAAGUCUGUUAAGUUCCUCAGGCUUCCCCUGCUGAUUAAUAUCCUCAAAGGGUGCCUGCAUUAUCUUCCCCAACCCGGGACUGACCCCGAGGCUCCAAAUCACCUGCCUUCCUCCAAGCAAACUUCCGUCUCCCAGCUGACCUCGGCUAGGCAUACGGAGCAAUACACUAACACACCAUCGCUAAGCCUCCCUUUCAACUCUUCUAAGUUUUUGGAUUUUUAAAAGAGAAAACAUGUUAUCUUCCCCCACCCUUACUCCCCAAAGGAACUUAAGGCAAAA
rnacentral:lncRNA from 1 species